GAUAGAUUACUCAGCUCGUCUAUCGAUGAAGAGCGCAGACUGCCGUGAGAAUUGACGCGAACUGCAAGACUCGGUGAAUAUCGACACCUCGAACGCACAUUACCGCCACG